AGAGAAAUAGAGAGAGACAUGGGGCAUGCACCUAAGGUUUCCGUUUGUCAUUAAGAUGAUCCCUCUGCAGUCUCCACCACCACAUCACUAUAAAUUAAGUGGCAUGGAGCCAUAAGGAUGGACAGUCCACCUGUACCAUAUACAAUACAAAACACUAAGUAGCAAAAAAUUUCCAAGAUCAUAGCAAACAUGAAGCCUGCAUUCACUUUCUUCUUCCUUCUUUUCUGUCUUUCAUCUUUUAUCAGCCUAAACUAUGCAAGAAAGCUGCCGGAGGAUUACUGGAAGAGCGUAAUGAAAGACCAGCCUAUACCAGAAGCAAUCAGAGGCUUGUUAGUUCAAGAUCCAUUAGUUGCUUCUGUACCAGGUUCUGACAAAAUAAACCAUUUUGUUAAGGAUUUUGACACCAGACCUAUUGCUGUAAUAUAUCAAAGCGGCCACGACGAGUUUACGAAAAUCGGUGGGACUCAUGGCGAGGACUUGAGAGACGAUCAUGAAAAGAAAGGAAAGAAAUCGUCUGCUGAGCAUAGCACGCCUGGUAGGGAAGAAAUUCCUACAUAGACUAGGGUUCAUAAACAAAAAUACAUAUAUAUAUAUAUAUAUAUGCAUAUAUUAAAGCAUACGAAUUUAGAGAAGGGUUCACACAAACACGUAUGUUCGUAGAAUGUUAACUGGUAUAGCGUGUUUGUAUAAAGGCAUGCUUUUGCUCUUAGACUUUUUCUCCUCUUUUCUUUUCUCGAUUUCUGAAAAAUUAUUGAAUAAACUCAGAGUAUUAAAUGAUGGUGAUUUUAAAUUCAUAUAAAUUAUGAGAAAUUAUAAAAAAGGAAUCCUGUGAGUGGAUGAGUACUUGUUAAGAGUUUAUUACUAUAUAAUUUGCCAUUAAUUAUGAGUUGCUUAUCCGCUUCUCGAGAAAAAAGAAAUCUUUUUAUUGUUUAAUCUCAUAAUUAUAACUCUAAUUAAUUCAGUAGAGCAAGAUGGAAUGAUACACCCUGUAAAUAUUAUAAACUCCAAUAUCAUUGGAUGAUCAUAAAAGGGAAAAAAAAAUUAUGCAAGAAUACAUUGGACAUGAGAAAAAGAGGGAUGGAGAAUAAUAUAUAAGUUUCAACUAUAUUUUUUUACUUAUAAAAACAUUGAAAAUCAUCAGCUGGAUAAGAUCAAUCAUGGGUUGAAAACAGAGAGAUCGAUCCAUCAACCAAGAAUUUGAGCUUAAUUAUGAUUUCAGCCCUGAAGAAAGGAAAAGAAAAGGGCCCAAUUUUUUGCAUGAUAAAAUGUAAUCAAAUGUCCCUUGAGAUUAACCCAUCCACUCGUCUUCCAAUCCCCUCUUUGCUACCCCAAUUUCCUUUCUAACAGGCCCUCACAGUCGUCGUCAUGGCUCCCAGGAAGAGGGUAAUUAAUCAAUAUUUACUACUAUUUUUAACAGCCCUUUUCACUUCUUGAUUUCACCGAAAUGGUGAACAAGUACGAUGAUGGUUGGGGAAAAAAAUGAUACAUGGUGCUGGAAUCUUCUAAGAAAGUACUGAAGAAUUGGAAUAUGAUUUGUUCAAGAAUCUGGAGAAGCGCAAAGUACCUAGCAACGUAGAAAAGGCAGGACUACUCUCCAAGGCGGAAGAGCUGGGAUCCCCACUCUUAUCAAUAGAGAAUUUGGGUGUGUUUUCGAGAGCUGAGGAGUUGGGGCUGUUAGAGUCUGUUGGAGAAGACAGCCAGUGUCUCCCCGUCGACUCUGGCUUCAGCUGGGCUUCCCAUACUGGUAGCGGCGCUGGCAGCGAUCGUGGUAAUACCGGAUGAUUUGGUGGGGUUGGUGGCGCUGCAAGCUGGAGAUUGCAGUUGUUGCAGCUGGGUUGUUUGUUGGGUCUGUUUUACUCGGUGGGUUGAAGGAAGCUGACUCAAGUGUCUGAGGAGUUUUGCUUUUCUUGGUUUUUGGGCAUUUUCAUUAAUAUUUUUAAAAUUUUUCCUGCUGAUAUGAGGGGAAAGAAAUAAUGUGGAGUGCGUAAGACUAAGGGAUGUAAAUUUCAAGGUAGGAUGAUAAUACCCUUUGUUAAGUUUGGCGCUAAUCAUUUCAUCAGGGAUAUAUUCAGAGAAAUGAUAUGAAAAAACAACAGAUUAAUAAAAGGGAAAAGAAAGGAAUGGAGAUGCGGGGUAUCGAUCCCCGUACCUCUCGCAUGCUAAGCGAGCGCUCUACCAUCUGAGCUACAUCCCCUUUCUUAUCAAUGCUUCUGCUAAUAUCAUAUUCAAAGAAUGCUGCAAUGGAGAUUGGAGAUGACUAUAACUAUCCACCCUUCGAAUAUGAGUGAUCCCCAUUUCAGAAUUUAUAACUUUUCUGGCAAAUGGAAUGACCAUGUGGUGAUAAAUUGGCGCCAGGAUCAUGAUGAAAAUGACGGGGAAGGAGGGAGGGAAGCUGGUGGGACUUUCCAGGAUUCAAACUUGGUGUUCAUGGUUGAUGCUUGUUGGACAGAAAAGGUAGAGAUUUGAGCAAGGCAGCAAUUUAACAUUAUGGUAGACGUGAAGAUGAGGUCCUUAGCACUAUCAUAACCUCUACUACAUCCCUUGCUGUGCAUUGAAGCAUUUGGUCUAUAAUCUUGUUCAUCACUGCUCUAUUGACAAACUUGAAGCUUUCCGCUGGAGUUUGACUUGGUGGCCCAAUUGUAGCGCGGUUAUCCUCUGUCACUGGUUUCAGUGGUGUAUGAUGAGCUUGUCUCCACCCAUGGCAGCAUUGCUAGGAUUCCGAGCUUUGCAGGUGUCAUAAAAUGCUGGAACAACACGAGUAUACACAAAUGAAAUGGAUUAUAUAUCUAGCUAGAUCUUUAUUUGCAUUUGCUGUUGGCGGCACUGGAUUUUCCUUUUUGGAUGAAUUGAACAUUAAGUUCUUGUGUU